rnacentral:lncRNA from 1 species
CUUCCUUCCCUCCUUCCCUCCUUCCUUUCUUCCUUCCGAGAAAAUCGAAAAUCUUCUCUCGAGCAACAGUGAAUGAAAUCGCACGGAUCGAGCGAGCUCGCGAUACUAAAAAAGAAGAAGAAGAAGAGAUACCGAAUUGUUGCACAGAGGAGAUCGUGCAACGUUGUUAUUCAAGAAUAUCGAUGUCUCCUUUGACCCUGGAUGGAACUGAGACCGCAAAACCGGUGAUGAAACAAAUAAUCGACGCUCGGGAAGAAGAUCGAAUUGCUCGAUGAUCCAAGCUUUUGCGCGCUAUUAUCGAUUAUUAUCCAGUAAGCCGCGAUUAAAUCCACUUAAAUCCGGACGAAUCUGGAAAAAUUCCAACGAACCGUAUCCUCCGAGUUAAUCCAAUCAACGGUUUGUGUCAAGUUUGAUAACGGUUUGAUAAUUUAAUAAGCUUUCGCCCGCUUUCGUCGUCGCCUAUCAACUUUCGAUUAAUUUAUCCCCGUACGUUGAUCCAAGAGAUUACAUCGCUGUAUCGAUUAUCCAUAAGUCGCUCCGUUAAAUCCAAACGAAUUUUCAGUUUCCAACGAACAAACCGCAUCCUCCAACUUCGAUCCAACUUGUGUGUCCAGUUUGAUUAUUAAUUACAAAUCAAGUUACGAUUUAAUAAAGUUUCUCUCGCUUUCGUCCACCACGAACCGAGUCGAGUCGUCGUUGCGUUGUAGAUCCACUUUCGAUUAAUUAUUUUAUCCUCCUCUCUCUCUCUCUUUUUGUUUUCUUCCUGCCGUAGAAAUAAAUGAACGAACGAGAGAUAUGAACGACGGAGUUUUUGCCACGGGAGACUCGCUUGAGACGAGAACAACACGAGACUGGUAUAAAGUGAGUCAAGUGAGCGGCGAACCGAUCUUCCGGUAAGUUUGCACGAAGGAGGUGGUGGAGCCGGUGCUAUUAACCGUCUACCGGAGGAGGCUGGUCUAGCUCGGGUUUUCACGGUGUUCGGUGAAAGUGGUUAAGGUUUUCGUUCGACGUGCGAGCGAGCAUCGCGUUUGUUCCACGGAGGAAAACGUUCUCUCGUCUCUUCUUUCUCGCCCAAUUACAGUCGAUUUCGAUCUUUGAACGAGUUUCGACUUUCUAUGGAGCAUAUGUGUGCGCGCGUGUCGUUCGAGUCAAAAGCAUCUGGAUGAAAGAUUUCGCGAGUUAAGAAGAAGUUACGAGUGUUUCUUUUUUCUUUCUAUUCGCAGGAAGAAAUUAUUUUGCGCGUCUGAUCAAAAUCUUGGAGUGAAGAAGUUACCAGCUCUUAAAUGAGAUUCGAUCGCGUCCAGAUCGAUUUUCGGCAUCGCUGUUUCGAUAUUGUAGACAUCGAAGCCGCCUUCCAUGGAAAAAAAAAAUCACAGAUUUGCAACACGAUGAACAUUGCACGAUGAAUAUUUGCGGUUUAUACUCGUGUACACACCGUGAAAUUUGAAGAGGGACGAGCAUGAGAAUACUCGGGAGGAAGAAGCGUAAAUGAGAA